rnacentral:rRNA from 1 species
AUGGCGGUUGUAGCUGCUGUUGAGGCUCUGCAUUAUAUGAAGACAAAUGAGAAACUUAUGCUGUCGGUACAAGAGUUGAUUGAUUGCGACACAGAGAACUUCGGGUGCAGGGGUGGCUACAGCGAGACUGCUCUGGAGUAUGUACAGAAGCACGGACUGUCGAGCGAAUCAACGUACCCGUACAUGGACCGAGAACGCAUUCUAGGCUGCAAGAAGAACAAGGAAGUAGCGGCCAAGAUAUCAGGCUUUGUCAAAAUCAUGAGCCCGACAGAACAAUCUCUGGAGGAGGCAGUGGCACGUCAGCCGGUCAUUGUGCGUCUACAGUGCCCCAAGAGCUUCAACGAAUACAAGGGAGGCAUCAUUGAUUCGCCACCAGCUCUACCUGGCGAAGAGCUGUUUUUGCAUUACGUGCUGAUUGUGAGUUAUGACACGGACUCCAACGGUGUCAAGUUCUGGCGCUUCAAAAACUCAGCUGGAGAGAAUUGGGGUGAGGGGGGGUUCGGGAGGCUCCGUAGGCACAUCGCUGACAAGCGAGGUGUGUUGGGCAUCUUCAUGUACCCGGCAAUGGUCAAAGAGGAAGUGAGGUUGUGGGCAAAGGCCAGGGCUAAUGGCCCUAGGGUGUUGCUGCCUGGGACUUGUGGUUACAACCUGAACCCCCAUGCCCCUGCCCCUGCCUGCCUCCGAUUCUCGCGGCAUUGGAACACACGACACGGGCAUCCCCUACCGUGGCGGGGCGAGAACGAGGCCAUUUAG